UACGGAGGGGGCUAGCGUUGUUCGGAAUUACUGGGCGUAAAGCGCGCGUAGGCGGACCUGCAAGUCGGGGGUGAAAGCCCGAGGCUCAACCCCGGAAGUGCACUCGAAACUGCAAGGCUUGAGUAUGGAAGAGGGUCUCGGAAUUCCCGGUGUAGAGGUGAAAUUCGUAGAUAUCGUAAGGAAGACCAGUGGCGAAGGCGGGUCUCUGGACAGUUCCUGACGCUGAGGCACGAAGGCCAGGGGAGCAAACGGG
rnacentral:rRNA from 1 species